UUGCCCCUGCGGUGUUUGUUAUUGUCAGACGUUUUUUUGAGCCAACACUUUAUUGCAUGGGAAGCCUCACUUGCUUUGGUGCGCAUGUUCCUCAGUUGUGGAAAAGCCUUAAGAAGCAACAGGAUUCCCGCCUUGAUGAGCUAAAGGCUCUCAAAAAAAGCUGGCAAAACGGCACAAGGUGGGGGCAAU
rfam:Desulfobacterales bacterium C00003104 5133_contig_1433.2, whole genome shotgun sequence.